rnacentral:rRNA from 1 species
CCUACGGGUGGCAGCAGUGAGGAAUAUUGGUCAAUGGGCUUAAGCCUGAACCAGCCAAGCCGCGUGAGGGAAGACUGCCCUAUGGGUUGUAAACCUCUUUUGUCAGGGAGCAAUUGGCGCUACGUGUAGCGUUAUCGAGAGUACCUGAAGAAAAAGCAUCGGCUAACUCCGUGCCAGCAGCCGCGGUAAUACGUAGGUGGCAAGCGUUGUUCGGAAUAACUGGGCGUAAAGGAUGCGUAGGCGGUUAAACAAGUUAUAUGUUAAAUACAUAGGCUUAACCUGUAGAAAGCAUAUAAAACUGUUUAACUAGAGUGCAGGAGAGGUAAGUGGAAUUCCUAGUGUAGCGGUAAAAUGCGUAGAGAUUAGGAAGAACACCAGUGGCGAAGGCGACUUACUGGACUGUAACUGACGCUGAGGCAUGAGAGCAUGGGGAGCAAACAGGAUUAGAUACCCCAGUAGUC